GACAGCAGCAGCCACGGGAAUACAGAGGGUGCGAGCGUUAAUCGGAUUUACUGGGCGUAAAGCGUGCGUAGGCGGCUUCUUAAGUCGGAUGUGAAAUCCCUGAGCUUAACUUAGGAAUUGCAUUCGAUACUGGGAAGCUAGAGUAUGGGAGAGGAUGGUAGAAUUCCAGGUGUAGCGGUGAAAUGCGUAGAGAUCUGGAGGAAUACCGAUGGCGAAGGCAGCCAUCUGGCCUAAUACUGACGCUGAGGUACGAAAGCAUGGGGAGCAAACAGGAUUAGAUACCCCAGUAGUCCCUGUCUCUUAUAC
rnacentral:rRNA from 1 species